rnacentral:rRNA from 1 species
UACGUAGGCAGCGAGCGUUGUUCGGAAUUACUGGGCGUAAAGGGUGUGUAGGCGGUUCUUUAAGUUUGGUGUGAAAUCUCCCGGCUCAACCGGGAGGGUGCGCCGAAUACUGAGGGACUAGAGUGCGGGAGAGGAAAGUGGAAUUCCUGGUGUAGCGGUGAAAUGCGUAGAUAUCUGGAGGAACACCGGUGGUGUAGACGGCUUUCUGGACCGUAACUGACGCUGAGACACGAAAGCGUGGGUAGCAAACAGG